CACGUGAAAAAAAAGAAAGAAGAAAAGUCAUACGACACCAGUCUGUUUAGUCUGGCUUCUCUCGGUUGACAUGGAGAGGCUGACGGAGGCCCGUGUACCGACCCAAGCGCGCCUACUCAACGACCGUCAACAGAAAACUGUUGAGAAACGAGAAGGCUGCGAGAGAAGACUUGUUACGCCGCAUGUUCUGCUGUUGCCUGCUACGAGUAUGACAGGGUUCCCCGAUUCUCCUCUCCGUUAUUCCUGUGAAGGACAGCCCUUCACCUUCGUUCUAUUGCUCCUGUGUGGUUCGGUGGCCCUGACAGAUACUUUGUGCUGUUCCCCUCUGUGUGAGAUUGGUCUGUCGAAGGAGUAUAUUUGUUGGCAAACUGUCAUUCUAAAUUGAUAAUAAUAUGAUUUGAUACGUGCAUCAAUUCCUAUUCAGCCAGCAUUAGUGUAGCUUUUGAUGUGGAGGUACUGCAUCAUCAUCAAGUUAAAUGCUGUUUUGUAUUGUAUGGGUUCAAACACAAACACACAGCCUUCACACAGACCUGCAGUACACCUGCCUUCUGCCCAUUUAAGAGCCAAACAUUGGAGUCAAGGUAACACCAGGCCAGGCCAGUGAGGCUACGCUGCCUGAGUUUAAAGAGGGUCGCAAAUGGAGCCCCCGCUGGGGUCCACCCAGACAGGAAGUAGACCUCACGACUCGGGCUAGAAGUCAGAAAAAGCUGACUUUAUAUUCAGACGGUAUAUGCAGUAAUGAAUAAUUAUUCUGAAAGGACUUUAUAGUGAGUCGGCAGAUAUUCUGUGCAUAAGUAGCCAUAAAGUGAACUUCAAAACGAACACUGACUCGAUUUUUUUUGUCAAAAACAUU
ensembl:lncRNA